rnacentral:rRNA from 1 species
UGAGGAAUAUUGGACAAUGGGCGGGAGCCUGAUCCAGCCAUGCCGCGUGCAGGAAGACUGCCCUAUGGGUUGUAAACUGCUUUUAUACGGGAAGAAUAAGUGUUACGUGUAGCACGAUGACGGUACCGUAAGAAUAAGCACCGGCUAACUCCGUGCCAGCAGCCGCGGUAAUACGGAGGGUGCAAGCGUUAUCCGGAAUCAUUGGGUUUAAAGGGUCCGUAGGUGGACUAAUAAGUCAGUGGUGAAAGUCUGCAGCUUAACUGUAGAAUUGCCAUUGAUACUGUUAGUCUUGAAUUGUUGUGAAGUAACUAGAAUAUGUAGUGUAGCGGUGAAAUGCAUAGAUAUUACAUAGAAUACCGAUUGCGAAGGCAGGUUACUAACAAUAUAUUGACACUGAUGGACGAAAGCGUGGGGAGCGAACAGG